UGCCUCUGUAGCUUAAUGGAUAGAGUACGUGGCUUCGAACCAUGUGAUGGGGGUUCGAUUCCCUCCAGAGGCACCC
rnacentral:tRNA from 1 species